CCUACGGGUGGCAGCAGUAGGGAAUCUUCCACAAUGGGCGAAAGCCUGAUGGAGCAACGCCGCGUGGGUGAAGAAGGUCUUCGGAACGUAAAACCCUGUUGUUAGAGAAGAAAGUGCGUGAGCGUAACUGUUCACGUUUCGACGGUAACUAACCAGAAAGCCACGGCUAACUACGUGCCAGAAGCCGCGGUAAUACGUAGGUGGCAAGCGUUAUCCGGAUUUAUGGGGCGUAAAGGGAACGCAGGCGGUAUUUUAAGUCUGAUGUGAAAGGCUUCGGCUUAACCGGAGUAGUGCAUUGGAAACUGGGAGACUUGAGUGCAGGAGAGGAAAGUGGAA
rnacentral:rRNA from 1 species